UACAGAGGGUGCAAGCGUUAAUCGGAAUUACUGGGCGUAAAGCGUGCGUAGACGGUUAUUUAAGUCAGGUGUGAAAGCCCCGGGCUCAACCUGGGAAUUGCAUUUGAGACUGAAUAGCUAGGGUGCGGAAGAGGGAAGCGGAAUUUCCGGUGUAGCGGUGAAAUGCGUAGAUAUCGGAAGGAACACCAGUGGCGAAAGCGGCUUCCUGGUCCAGCACCGACGUUCAGGCACGAAAGCGUGGGGAGCAAACAGGAUUAGAAACCCUGG
rnacentral:rRNA from 1 species